UAUAUCCUUUUAUCUGUGGAUUAAUUGUCGGAGGGCCUUGUGCAUUUCAGGCUGUUGAAGAAGUAUUUGCAGUAUAUAACGUUCAGGGAAGAAUGACUUCUGAAACGGACCCCAACACUGCUGGUGUUCAAUACAACCGCUGGAAUGAAGACAACAUCAACCUGAAUGUGGCUGGAACAGGUGUAACGGGGCUCUACAACAGGGUCUGCACUGGCACCCUGGGCGUAGCUAUCAAGGUGGCCGGAGCUUUGGCUGCACUAGUGGCUGUUUACAUCAUAGGAUACCUCAUUGGAUAUUACGCCCACAAAUGCUGACCAGCCACUGACCGAAGGACCCUUGUUCAGAGAGGAAGGACCCUCAAUGGAUGGAACUAUGUUAUGUAUCAAUUAUAUAUGGUUUUUAAAUGACCACAUAAUGGCUGUAUGAGAGGAUCAAAUAUUAUUGGAGCCACACUUUCAAUAAGUCAGGAUUUUUUGUUUCCUUUUUUUAGAAAUGUUGGGAUUGCAGUUUGCUUGUUGUAAAGUGAUUUUACAGCUUCCCCACAGCUUUGUCUUUUAUGUGAAAUGCCAGGGCAAUUAGAAGAUUAAGUCCAAAAUAUGAACAAAAUGUUUGACUUUUGGUAUUCAAAUCAAAUCAAAUUUAUUUAUAUAGCCCUUCGUACAUCAGCUGAUAUCUCAAAGUGCUGUACAGAAACCCAGCCUAAAACCCCAAACAGCAAGCAAUGCAGGUGUAGAAGCACGACAACAUUCAAUAUGUUCUUCUCAGUAAGUGAUAUUACAGUGCCUUCAGAAAGUAUUCAUACCCCUUGACCUAUUCCACAUUUUGUAGUGUUACAUCCUGAAUUUCUAAUGGAUUACAUUUUUACCACAUAAUGACAAAGUGAAAACAAGUUUUGACAAAAUUGUGCUCAUUUAUUGAAAUAAAGAAACAUUUCAUUUAGGUAAGUAUCACACCCCUGAGUCAAUACGUUAGAAUCACCUUUGGCAGCGAUUACAGCUGUGAGUCUUUCUGGGUAAGUCUCAAAGAGCUUUGAACAUCUGGAUUGUGCAAUAUUUGCACAUUACUAUUUUUUGAAUUCUUCAAGCUCCCUCAAUUUGCUUGUUGAUCAUUUCUAAAUACACUUUGAUAUUAUGGGCUAUUGUGUGUAAGCCAGUGACUAACGCUUAAUGAGUGAAUGGGUGUGGAGUCAGGCGCAGAGAACAUAGGAUGCGGGAAAA